GUCUAGGUAUAUCAGAUUGAAUGCAUCAGUUUCCAGCAGACCACUGAAGUUAAGCAACACUGAGCAUGGGUCGUACUUGGAUGGGUGAUUACCUGGAAAAAUUACCUACUUAUACU
rnacentral:rRNA from 1 species